UCACGUAAUCCGUAUGCGAAAUCGGUAAACUGUAUGAGCAUAUUGAACAGUGCGACGUAAUUAGAUGAAAGUUUACUGUUUGAACAGCGGUUAUCGAUAUGUAAACAUGCUUAAUACUACAUGGUGGUGACUUAAUUAGUAAGGUUUUAAGCGCACCUAGGAAGUUAGUUCUGUAUUGAUAGGUAAAAGUUCAGGUAGGCUAUCCGCAGUUGAACUGACUGAAUAUAUGCAUGCGGUUAAUGUACUUCAUCUGCAAACCGCUGUUUAAGGUGCGUCAUUUUAUUUAGAAAAUGUAAUAAUGAAUAAUCCUCCUACUAACCCGCAGACCUGUCAAUUAGUGAAUUUAAAACUAAAUACUAGCCAUUGUGCAGUGCCAAAAGUGCCCGUGGUCAUAUCGGAAAGCAAAAAAAAGCAAAGAAAAAAGAAGCUUGUUCACAGUAAAACGCCCGGAAUUUGCCAAAGAUGAAAAAACUAAAAAACAUCUUUUAACACUUACAAGAUUUUUAUUGUCGGUUCGUGAUUGUGAUAAAAAGGACCAAAUAAAAAACAUGCUCUCGAGGGAAAGUGCAAUUUGAGCAGUGCAAUGUUUGCGAAGGUAUUACCGCAAAUCCAAUUCCAACUAACUAUGACAAUGUUUACUGCCAUCCUGUCAUUAUCAAUACUGACAAUACUCUGAAAGUGCAUGAAAUGUACAGAUCAAACAAUUGCCAAAUAUUUGGUAAGUAUGUGCAAGGCUGAUUAAUUCUGUGUUGAAUAUGCCAUGUUACCUCAAAGCAGGUUCUGCAGAAGAAAGUUGCUGUAAUUACUGCCAAAUGGAAAACAAAAAGAUAGCAACUGUAAACAUAGAAGCAGCACAGCAACAAGGUAGUAAGGCUGCCUUCAAUAAAUCAUAUCAAUGAAGAUCAUUUCAGCAAAAUAUUUGGUCGAAAUCAAGCAGAUCUUAAUGAAUGGCAACAGCUUUUUAUGA